UACGUAGGGAGCAAGCGUUGUCCGGAAUCAUUGGGCGUAAAGCGCGCGUAGGUGGCCUCAUAAGUCCGCUGUGAAAGUCAAAGGCUCAACCGUUGAAAGCCGGUGGAUACUGUGAGGCUAGAGUACGGAAGAGGCGAGUGGAAUUCCUGGUGUAGCGGUGGAAUGCGCAGAUAUCAGGAGGAACACCAAUAGCGAAGGCAGCUCGCUGGGACGUUACUGACACUGAGGCGCGAAAGCGUGGGGAGCGAACAGG
rnacentral:rRNA from 1 species